UACGUAGGGUCCGAGCGUUGUCCGGAUUUAUUGGGCGUAAAGAGCUCGUAGGCGGCUCGGUAAGUCGGAUGUGAAAACUCGGGGCUCAACCCCGAGACGCCAUCCGAUACUGCUGUGGCUUGAGUCUGGUAGGGGAGAACGGAAUUCCUGGUGUAGCGGUGAAAUGCGCAGAUAUCAGGAGGAACACCGGUGGCGAAGGCGGUUCUCUGGGCCAGUACUGACGCUGAGGAGCGAAAGCGUGGGGAGCAAACAGG
rnacentral:rRNA from 1 species